rnacentral:rRNA from 1 species
CCCUUAGAUGUCCUGGGCUGCACGCGCGCUACACUGACACAUUCAACGAGUAUUUCCUGUCCCGAUAGGGUUGGGUAAUCUUUUGAAACUGUGUCGUGAUGGGGAUAGAUUAUUGCAAUUAUUAAUCUUCAACGAGGAAUUCCUAGUAAGUACAAGUCAUCAGCUUGUGCUGAUUACGUCCCUGCCCUUUGUACACACCGCCCGUCGCUCCUACCGAUUGAGUGAACCGGUGAAUAAUUCGGACUCUGAGUUCAGGACUUCGGUCACUGGAUUUAGAGGAAGUUUCGUGAACCUUUUCACUUAGAGGAAGGAGAAGUCGUAACA